UCAAAAAUCGGUUCCCGUACAAUCAUCGAAAUUAAGCAACAUUGAGCCUGGUCAAUAUCUAGAUGGGUGACCGCUUGGGAAUACCAGGUGCUGUAAG